UUGGAGGCUCAGUUGGUAGAGUGCUUGCCUCGUAUGCACAAGGCCAUGGGUUCGAUUCCCUAGCACCAAA
rnacentral:tRNA from 1 species